rnacentral:rRNA from 1 species
CGCGAACGUUGGCGGCGUGCCUAACACAUGCAAGUCGUGGGGCAGCAGGCUACUGUCUUUUGGCAGUAGUGCUGGCGACCGGCAAACGGGUGAGUAACACGUAGCUUACCUACCCAUAGGUUGGGGAUAACAUCCCGAAAGGGGUGCUAAUACCCAAUAAUGAGGAGACUCCAAAGCCCUUAUGGGCGCCUAUGGAUGGGGCUGCGUCCCAUCAGCUAGUUGGUGAGGUAAUGGCUCACCAAGGCUACGACGGGUAACCGGUCUGAGAGGAUGACCGGUCACAGCGGGACUGAGACACGGCCCGCACCCCUACGGGGGGCAGCAGUGGGGAAUAUUGGGCAAUGGCCGAAAGGCUGACCCAGCAACGCCGCGUGGUGGAUGAAGCCCUUCGGGGUGUAAACACCUUUUCUGGGGGAAGAUAAUGACAGUACCCCAGGAAUAAGGGACGGCUAACUACGUGCCAGCAGCCGCGGUAAUACGUAG